GAUGAACGCUGGCGGCGUGCCUAACACAUGCAAGUCGAACGGGCUUAACAUGAAACCUAGUGAUUGUUAAGUUAGUGGCGGACGGGUGAGUAACGCGUGGAUAACCUGCCGUAUGCAGGGGGAUAACAGUUGGAAACAGCUGCUAAUACCGCAUAAGCACACAGUACCGCAUGGUACGGUGUGAAAAGAUUUAUCGGCAUACGAUGGAUCCGCGUCCGAUUAGCCAGUUGGCGGGGUAACGGCCCACCAAAGCGACGAUCGGUAGCCGGCCUGAGAGGGCGGACGGCCACAUUGGGACUGAGACACGGCCCAA
rnacentral:rRNA from 1 species